AUCUAGAUCAUGUUUGAUUAAAAAUAUCAUAAGCUUGUAUAUCUUUUCUUCUUUGGCUUUUUGGUGUGUAAACUUCUUCCUGUUUGCAGUGGGAUGAUAGUUCAGUUGAGUCUCCAUCUGGAAUGUCACCAUCCCUGUUGAAGGAUCUUUGCUUACAUAGCCCAAAGAGAAGGAUGGUUUCUCCCUUGAAGCUAAUAGAAAACAACAAACUUACUAAACGGAGAAAAAUUAAGCGAUGGAGUUUACUGGAAGAAGAAACUUUGAUAAAAGCUGUGGAAAGGCAUGGGAAAGGUAAUUGGAAAAUGAUUCUAAGCUGCCAUCCUGAUAUUUUUGAAGAGAGAACAGAGGUUGAUUUGAAGGAUAAGUGGAGAAAUAUGACCAAGCACUAGCUUGCUUUUCUGCACCACGUUGUUAGAGAAGAAUCAAAUGAGGAUCAUCCAUGGAUGGUUGUGCUCCGAAGGAUCAAGAGAAAAUGGAAUGGUGAAGUUGGAGAAUGAGAGUGCGGCUACAAGAAUUUAGUCAAAAAAGGCAAUCCAUUUAAAUGAUAGAUGCUUGCUUGUCUUCUUCCAUAUUAAAGUUGAUUCUUUUAUUUGUAUUAAAUAAACUUUUUUUUUUUAUUUUUGAAAUAGAGAGGGAGAUAGAUCCAUAUGUAUUAUAAUUACUCAGGUCUAAAUGUUUCAGGAUGUGCUGUC